GCUGAACCACUAUGCCAACUCUGGUGGUUCUAAAAGAUCACACUUAAAAGUUGGAUAAGAAUUUACAUAAUUUUAGAACUCAUUUUUCAUUAAACUAUAUAUUUUUUGCGCAAUUUGAUUCACAUGUAUAUAUGUAAUAAAAAAAAAUCGUUGUUAUCCUAUUUCUACUUUAUAAUUUAUCGCGGAUGUAAAGAAUUUAAUUAAUCCUCUUGACAAUACCUAGCUUCGUCCCUGCCAGACGGCAAUGCACUUCAUUUCGAAAAAAAAAAAAAUACAUUAAAAAUGAAAUUAAAUAUAUACUUAAGAUAAAUUUAAAAUUUUAAGUGAACACAUAUAAGCUAUAUUAUAUUGCGCCCUCGUCUACUCUCCAUAAUAUAAUAAAUAACGUGGUCUCAUAUAUUUUUUUUAUAGUGGAAAUAAAAACACGUAAUGACAUAAAAGACUAUUAUUAAAAACAUGUAUAAGAAUUAAUGAAUUUUAUUCUACCCCUCGCAAAUAAUAUUUCAAAACUUUAAUUCAUAUAUUCUCCAUUAUUUGCGUAGAUAAAUAUAAUAUUAUAAAGUAUAUAACUUAUUAUAUGUAUAUGUUUGUCAAUAUAAAUCAUGUUAGGCAAGCUUCAAAAAUGUCUAAAGAUUGUCCAAUUGGACCAAAUGCAUACUUUUCAAUACAUAAAAUUUGACAUGAAAAAUUACCUAUCAUAGUGAAUAAUCAACUUAAUACAAUAGAGAAAAAACUAUUUAAUACGCAUAAUAUAAAAUUAUAUUAGUAAAAUACUUUUUGCAGAGGACAAAAAUCAUCCACUAUAACAAGAGAUAGAUAAAUAUUUUUUUUUCGAUUGAUCCAAUGGCAGACAAAUUAUUAACAAGUGAAAAAAGGUAGUUUUGUUGGAUUCAAAAAAUUAUUAUUGAAUUUUUAACUUAUAUAAUAAAGCCAAAGUUAGCGAAGCUGAGAAUAAAUUUGUAACUUAAAUACUUCAUUUGUCUUUGAUAAUAAAGUUAAGAGAUAAUGUAUCAAAACCUCCUGAACUUGUCUCCACAAUUUACUUUAACAUUUAAACUAAACUUAUAUUUAUUUACCCCUUAACAUUUUUAAAGUGAAUUAAUUCCCUCCUUAUGCUGAUGUGGCAUUUUAAAAAGAAAAAAAGAAAAAAAAAUUAAAUGACACAUCAGUAUAAGGGGGAAAAUUAAUUCACUUUAAAGAUUUUAGGAGAAGUAAAUAAACGGAAGUUAAGUUUAAAUGUCAAAGUAAGUUAUGGAGACAAGUUCACGGGGUUUUAAUACAUUGUCUCUACAGUUAAACUACACUGACACAUCACACAUGUAAAUAAUCAUUUAAACUUAACGUAUAUAAUUUAAAAUUCACAAACGGCCAAAUUAUGUUUAUAUUAAUCUAAUAAAUAUAUAAUAUAUGUACAUGAUUAAGUUAUAAAUUAAGGUGAUCUAAUGUGUAUAGACAAAAUUAUGGUGAACAG
rnacentral:lncRNA from 1 species